rnacentral:sRNA from 1 species
GCGGACAGGACGUCCGCCGGAACAAUCCCUUUUGCGAGUUUUCUUGUAAGAAAACUCGGGCUUUACCGAAGUACAGGACGUACUUCGGUAAAGCGGG